rnacentral:rRNA from 1 species
CUGGUUGAUCCCGCCGGACCUGACUGCUAUCGGAUUGAUACUAAGCCAUGCGAGUCAUUGUAGUAAUACAAGGCAUACGGCUCAGUAACGCGUAGUCAACCUAACCUAUGGACGGGAAUAACCUCGGGAAACUGAGUAUAAUGCCCGAUAGAACAUUAUGCCUGGAAUGGUUUAUGUUCCAAAUGAUUUAUCGCCGUAGGAUGGGACUGCGGCCUAUCAGUUUGUUGGUGAGGUAAUGGCCCACCAAGACUAUUACAGGUACGGGCUCUGAGAGGAGUAGCCCGGAGAUGGGUACUGAGACACGGACCCAGGCCCUAUGGGGCGCAGCAGGCGAGAAAACUUUGCAAUGUGCGAAAGCACGACAAGGUUAAUCCGAGUGGUUUCUGCUAAAGGAACCUUUUGUUAGUCCUAGAAACACUAACGAAUAAGGGGUGGGCAAGUUCUGGUGUCAGCCGCCGCGGUAAAACCAGCACCUCAAGUGGUCAGGAUGAUUAUUGGGCCUAAAGCAUCCGUAGCCGGAUCUGUAAGUUUUCGGUUAAAUCUGUACGCUCAACGUACAGGCUGCCGGGAAUACUGCAGAUCUAGGGAGUGGGAGAGGUAGACGGUACUCGGGAGGAAGGGGUAAAAUCCUUUGAUCUCUCGAUGACCACCUGUGGCGAAGGCGGUCUACCAGAACACGUCCGACGGUGAGGGAUGAAAGCUGGGGGAGCAAACCGGAUUAGAUACCCGGGUAGUCCCAGCUGUAAACUAUGCAAACUCAGUGAUGCAUUGACUUGUGGUCAAUGCAGUGCUGCAGGGAAGCCGUUAAGUUUGCCGCCUGGGAAGUACGUACGCAAGUAUGAAACUUAAAGGAAUUG